rnacentral:rRNA from 1 species
ACUCAAAGGAAUAGACGGGGGCCCGCACAAGCAGCGGAGCGUGUGGUUUAAUUCGAAGCAACACGAAGAACCUUACCUAGGCUUGACAUGCACCUGCGGUCAGGGGAAACUCUGGCGCCUUCGAGGGUGGUGCACCGGUGCUGCAUGGCUGUCGUCAGCUCGUGUCGUGAGAUGUUGGGUUAAGUCCCGCAACGAGCGCAACCCUUGCCCCGUGUUAUGAGUGUCACGGGGGACUGCCGUGGUGUAACCACGGAGGAAGGCGGGGAUGACGUCAAGUCCGCAUGGCCCCUACGCCUAGGGCUACACACACGCUACAAUGCAGGGAGGAGUGCGUUGCGACCUCGCAAGGGGGAGCUAAUCGGCAAGACCCUGCGUAGUGCAGAUUGGGGGCUGCAACUCGCCCCCAUGAAGACGGAGUUGCUAGUAACCGCGUGUCAGCAAAGCGCGGUGAAUACGUACCCGGGCCUUGUACACACCGCCCGU